GACGAACGCUGGCGGCGCGCCUAACACAUGCAAGUCGAACGGAGCUGAGAGAAGCUUGCUUUUCUUAGCUUAGUGGCGAACGGGUGAGUAACGCGUGAGUAACCUGCCCUGGAGUGGGGGACAACAGUUGGAAACGACUGCUAAUACUGCAUAAGCCCACGAUCCGGCAUCGGAUUGAGGGAAAAGGAUUUAUUCGCUUCAGGAUGGACUCGCGUCCAAUUAGCUAGUUGGUGAGGUAACGGCCCACCAAGGCGACGAUUGGUAGCCGGACUGAGAGGUUGAACGGCCACAUUGGGACUGAGACACGGCCCAGACUCCUACGGGAGGCAGCAGUGGGGGAUAUUGCACAAUGGGGGAAACCCUGAUGCAGCGACGCCGCGUGGAGGAAGAAGGUUUUCGGAUUGUAAACUCCUGUCGUUAGGGACGAUAAUGACGGUACCUAACAAGAAAGCACCGGCUAACUACGUG
rnacentral:rRNA from 1 species